UUUAUGAGUUUCCAUGUUCAACUUUGAUCGUCCGUUUUAUUUAAAAUUUUUUAGAUUGAUAACAUGAUAAAACAUGAAUUUUACUUUAUACGUGACUUAUGUUUUUAUUUUUUUAAAAAAGAAAUUAAAUAAGCCGAACGAUUAAAAUUAGAAAAAAAAACUUAAU
rnacentral:pre_miRNA from 1 species